UACAGAGGUCUCAAGCGUUGUUCGGAUUCAUUGGGCGUAAAGGGUGUGUAGGUGGCGCCGUAAGUCGGGUGUGAAAUUUCGGAGCUUAACUCCGAAAUUGCAUUCGAUACUGCGGUGCUUGAGGACUGGAGAGGAGACUGGAAUUCAUGGUGUAGCAGUGAAAUGCGUAGAGAUCAUGAGGAAGACCAGUGGCGAAGGCGGGUCUCUGGACAGUUCCUGACACUGAGACACGAAGGCCAGGGGAGCAAACGGG
rnacentral:rRNA from 1 species